UACGUAGGUGGCAAGCGUUGUCCGGAUUUAUUGGGUUUAAAGGGUGCGUAGGCGGCUUUGUAAGUCAGUGGUGAAAUAUCGCAGCUUAACUGUGAGGGUGCCAUUGAUACUGCAGAGCUUGAGUACAGAUGAGGUAGGCGGAAUUGACGGUGUAGCGGUGAAAUGCCUAGAUAUCGUCAAGAACACCUAUAGCGAAGGCAGCUUACUAGGCUGUAACUGACGCUGAGGCACGAAAGCUAGGGUAGCAAACGGG
rnacentral:rRNA from 1 species